rnacentral:lncRNA from 1 species
GAAGACAAAUUCUUGCAUAUGUGGUAGGCAAAAAAAUUUUAUAUAAGCCAAAUCAAAGAAUUCCCUCUUGGUUUCUUGGAGGCAUAGGAUGUCACAUUUAGACUCGGUGCUUUUACUUCGCACUGCUUCCCAUUUUUUUCUGAGUUUAUCCCUCUGAUAUUCCAGGAUAGGAUUGUCCAGGUUUGCUAUGUGCGUCUAGGUUCAUGGUGGAGACUUAAGUUUUUUCCGGCCUCACCCCAUAUGGGGGUCCUUCCAGAUGAAUUGGGUUCGAACAUAAUGAAGACAGAAAAAGUGGGCAUGGUCAAAGCCCCAAUAUCAUAGAAUUAACCACGGUAAUCAUUAGUUUAGUUGGUAAUAGAAGUACCAUCAUUAAGUUAUAGGGGACCAAUAAGAGGGUCCACAGCGCAUAAGAGACAAUAACCAAUAGUCUGUUUAACAUCAUCAUCAUUCUAAUUCAAAGAAAACCAUAGGCCCUAAGAAGCAUCUGUGGGCUAAAUUCCCAUCCUCGACUUUCUCAGACCCUUCUACUUCUUUGUCUUCUUUGGAGGCUCCUGGACUUCUUUCUCCUCCAUCUCCCCUUUCCCUUUCC